CUGCAAUGAUGACUUCUUAGGACACCUUUGGAUUAAUGAUGAAAAGAAUCUCAUUUUCCUGAGCAGC